rnacentral:rRNA from 1 species
AGAGUUUGAUCAUGGCUCAGAUUGAACGCUGGCGGCAGGCCUAACACAUGCAAGUCGAGCGGUAGAAGGAAGCUUGCUUCCUUUGAGAGCGGCGGACGGGUGAGUAAUGCCUAGGAAUCUGCCUGGUAGUGGGGGAUAACGUUCGGAAACGGACGCUAAUACCGCAUACGUCCUACGGGAGAAAGCAGGGGACCUUCGGGCCUUGCGCUAUCAGAUGAGCCUAGGUCGGAUUAGCUUGUUGGUGAGGUAAUGGCUCACCAAGGCAACGAUCCGUAACUGGUCUGAGAGGAUGAUCAGUCACACUGGAACUGAGACACGGUCCAGACUCCUACGGGAGGCAGCAGUGGGGAAUAUUGGACAAUGGGGGAAACCCUGAUCCAGCCAUGCCGCGUGUGUGAAGAAGGUCUUAGGAUUGUAAAGCACUUUAAGUUGGGAGGAAGGGUUAUAGCCUAAUACGCUGUAACUUUGACGUUACCGACAGAAUAAGCACCGGCUAACUCUGUGCCAGCAGCCGCGGUAAUACAGAGGGUGCAAGCGUUAAUCGGAAUUACUGGGCGUAAAGCGCGCGUAGGUGGCAAAGUAAGAUGGGUGUGANAUCCCCGGGCUCAACCUGGGAACUGCAUCCAUAACUGCUUCGCUAGAGUACGGUAGAGGGUAGUGGAAUUUCCUGUGUAGCGGUGAAAUGCGUAGAUAUAGGAAGGGACACCAGUGGCGAAGGCGACUACCUGGACUGAUACUGACACUGAGGUGCGAAAGCGUGGGGAGCAAACAGGAUAGAUACCCUGGUAGUCCACGCGUAAACGAUGUCAACUAGGCCGUUGGAACCUUGAGUUCUUAGGGGCGCAACUAACCCACUAAAGUUGACCCCCUGGGGAAUACGGGCCCAAGAUUAAAACUCAAAUGAAAUUGACGGGGGGCCCCCCCAAAACGGGGGAAACAUGGGGUUUAAUUCCAAACAAACCCGAAAAACCCUUACCUGGCCCUGAAAUGGCGUAAAAAUUUCCCCAAAAUGAAUUGGGGUCCCUUCGGGAAAUCCAGAAACCGAGGUCUGU